GAUGAACGCUGGCGGCGUGCUUAACACAUGCAAGUCGAACGGUGAACACGGAGCUUGCUCUGUGGGAUCAGUGGCGAACGGGUGAAUAACACGUGAGCAACCUGCCCCUGACUCUGGGAUAAGCGCUGGAAACGGCGUCUAAUACUGGAUAUGUGACGUGACCGCAUGGUCUGCGUUUGGAAAGAUUUUUCGGUUGGGGAUGGGCUCGCGGCCUAUCAGCUUGUUGGUGAGGUAAUGGCUCACCAAGGCGUCGACGGGUAGCCGGCCUGAGAGGGUGACCGGCCACACUGGGAUUGAGACACGGCCCAGACUCCUACGGGAGGCAGCAGUGGGGAAUAUUGCACAAUGGGCGAAAGCCUGAUGCAGCAACGCCGCGUGAGGGAUGACGGCCUUCGGGUUGUAAACCUUUUUUAGCAGGGAAGAAGCGAAAGUGACGGUACCUGCAGAAAAAGCGCCGGCUAACUACGUG
rnacentral:rRNA from 1 species